CAUGGUUUUCUCGUAAUUACACUUAUUGACACGCCAAGAGCUUAUGCUGAUCUCAAAUCUGAGGAACUUGGUCAGGGUGAAGCUAUAGCUCAAAACAUAAGGUCUAUGUUUGGACUGAGAGUUCCUGUCAUCUCAAUAGUCACCGGUGAAGGUGGUUUUGGGGGAGCUCUGGCCAUCUGUUGCUGCAAUAAAUUGUUUAUGCUUGAGAAUCCUGCUUUCUAUGUUGCUAGGUUUUCUUCGCAUCUAUUGUCUAUUUUUGGUUUCUUAUUAUUAUUCAAAUUCCUUCAUCAUUUUCCAAUACAUGCUUACCUUAUUAUUUCCCUUUUGACAUUCCUGAAGCAUGCGUUGCAAUAUUAUGGAAAUCUGCCCAAGCAGCCCCAAAGGCUGCUGAAAACAUGAGGAUAACAGCCCAAGAACACCUUCGGCUAAAAAUUGAUGAUGUUAUCAUUCCUGCAAGCUUUUCUAAAUUCUCAAAUUUCUGCCUGAAAUCAACAUGAUUUGUUUGGACACUUGGAAUGCGUUCAUUUGGACUGCAUGCUUAUUCCACAUAAUUGGCAGGUGUGAUACUUUUGUGUUCUUUGUGUGAUAUUCUUUCUGAUUAUUUGUCUCGAACACUCUUCUUUUUUCUUUUUGCUGUUAUUCUGAAAUGUUGAUUUGAAGCAAAUUUCUUGUAGAGACAUACUUCGUAUACCUUAAAAAUA